GUCCCCAUCGUCUAGAGGCCUAGGACAUCGCCCUUUCACGGCGGUAACGGGGGUUCGAAUCCCCCUGGGGAUGCCA
rnacentral:tRNA from 1 species